GAAGCAGUAGCUCAGGGGUAGAGCAUAAAAAUCAGCCCUGGAAUUACCCGAAAGGGUCAACCGGCGCUUACUUCCACACCUUUAGGGUCGCUGGUUCGAAUCCAGCCUGCUUCA
rnacentral:tRNA from 1 species